rnacentral:tRNA from 1 species
CUCGCGAUAGCUCAGUUGGUAGAGCGGAGGACUGUAGUGGUUGCAAAACACGGGUAUCCUUAGGUCGGCGGUUCGACUCCGUCUCGCGAGA